CCAGGUGAAUGCAGUUAAGUAGAUGAUAGGAUAUAAAAGCCUGCUCUGUGAGUCAUGUUGAAAGAAGUAUAACUGACUUACAAAAAUGCAACUAACGUCUGCUGAGAUACAUCAUCGAGCUGACAACAUGUUACUGACCACUGUUACUGACACCCUCCACAAGAAGGGCAAGCCACAGAAGGUCAUUGCUGAAAAGGCUAGCUGUUCACAGAGUGCAGUAAUGAAGAAAAUUACGGACAGUUGACUGGAAGGAUAAUGUGUGGGAGGAAAGGAUGCCCAUGCAACAGGGAUGACCGCAGCCUUGACAGGAAUUGAAAAGCCAAUUCAAGAAGGGAGACAUUUACAACGGAGAGCUUUACGGGGACCUGACGGUGUCAGUAAUGCGACAGUCGCAGAUCCUUAGCUGAACAAAUGCUUGUGUGGUGAUGUGGAUGCACUAAUAACUCAGGAAGCCAUGAUGAGACCGAAGUGUUUUGCCUGGGCUAAGGAGAAAAAGAACUGGACUGCAUGGACUGUUCAGUGAAGAUGAUUUGAGGUACUGUGUAUUAGUCCACUGUGUUUUAUCAAGUCCAAAGUCAACGCAGCCAUCCUGCAGAAGAUUUCAGAGCACUUCAUGCAUCAAUCUGCUGACAAGAACCAGUUGUUGUUUUCAACAUGCCUACUAUCAAAUGGUUUGCUGACCCUUCUAAACAAAUUUGCCUGGCCUGAACUCUAUAGGGUAUCUAUCAGAGGGACAGAAAACACCCAACCCAGAUGACAUCAGAAAGCCACUAUCAAAGCAAUUAAAAUUAAACCCAAAAAAGAGUUGAAAUAUUUCACUUGCAAUGAGUAUAGAAGGGUUGAAUUAAAUUAUAUUAAAACUGCAUGCACUCGUUCUGGUUUAUUCAAGUAAUAAAGUAUGUAAUAAACAUUACAAUGAGCUGUUCAAAGUGCAACGGACGAUCAUAGACAAGGCAGAUUAAAUAUUAUAUUAUAAUUUAGGUCAUUUUCAGAAAAUCUUUAAAAAUUU